UACAGAGGGUGCGAGCGUUGUCCGGAAUCACUGGGCGUAAAGGGCGCGUAGGCGGCCUGGUAAGCGUGCGGUGAAAGCCCGGGGCUCAACCCCGGGUCGGCCGUGCGAACUGCGAGGCUGGAGCACUGUAGAGGCAGGUGGAAUUCCGGGUGUAGCGGUGGAAUGCGUAGAGAUCCGGAAGAACACCGGUGGCGAAGGCGGCCUGCUGGGCAGUGGCUGACGCUGAGGGCGCGACAGCGUGGGGGAGCAAACAGG
rnacentral:rRNA from 1 species